rnacentral:rRNA from 1 species
CUACGGGGGGCUCUAGUGAGGAAUAUUGGUCAAUGGGCGCGAGCCUGAACCAGCCAUCCCGCGUGCAGGAUGACGGCCCUAUGGGUUGUAAACUGCUUUUCUAUGCCAAGAAACCUGAUUACGUGUAAUCAGUUGCCGGUAGCAUAGGAAUAAGCAUCGGCUAACUCCGUGCCAGCAGCCGCGGUAAUACGGAGGAUGCAAGCGUUAUCCGGAUUCAUUGGGUUUAAAGGGUGCGCAGGUGGGCUUGUAAGUCAGUGGUGAAAUGCUGCCGCUUAACGGUAGAACUGCCAUUGAUACUGCGAGGCUUGAGUAUGGUUGAGGUAGGCGGAAUGUGUUGUGUAGCGGUGAAAUGCAUAGAUAUGACACAGAACGCCAAUUGCGAAGGCAGCUUACUAAGCCAUUACUGACGCUGAGGCACGAAAGCGUGGGGAGCGAACAGGAUUAGAUACCCCGGUAGUC